rnacentral:ncRNA from 1 species
GGGGAAGUCCGGUGAGAGUCCGGCGCUGACCCGCAACGGUGUGCGUGGAGGACCUGUGGUCCGUCGCGCGAGCCCGAUUGCCC